GUGUCCGCUUAAGGUCACAGCUGUUGUAAGAAGAUCCUGGAGAAGGACCCUGGCCAAUUGCAGGAGGGUGGCCAGGCCUCAAAAUCAAGUUCUCCCAGGAAGGAAUGGAUGAUGGGGAACAGUUUAACCUAGAUGCUGUGGUUCCAGUCAAGCUCCCCCCACCAUCAUCUACCCGGCCAACAAUGGAACAGACUGGUAGUGAACUCCUGGUCCCUGGAGGCAGCAAAAGAAGCCACUUACCUGAGAAGCUGCAGUGGCACGGUCAUAGCUCACUGUAACCUUGAACUCAUACAGAUGAUCUUGGAGAUAGCUCUUCUGAGGCCUGCCAACAGGUAGUAAAUGAGUUUGGAAUUGGACCCUCCACCAGCCGAGCCUUAAGAUGACCACAACCAAGGCCAACACCUCGUGAAAACCCUUGAGUCCGAACCACCCAGCGAAGCCACAGAAACAGAGAAACCACUAUUAGUUCCAGCUGCUAAGUUUUUGGGUCAUUAGUUCAGCAGCAAUGGGUA
rnacentral:lncRNA from 1 species